GUCUCUAUUAGGGUCCUCCUUGUUUCCUAGCUUCUCUGAUGGUGUGGAUUGUAGGCUGGUAAUCCUUUGCUCUGUGUCUAAAAUCCAUAUAUGAGUGAGUAAUACCAUGUUUGUCUUUUUGUGACUGGUAGACGAGGAUCUUAAGGCUAGAAUGGAACUACUUUAAGUCUCUCUUCACAGUGAGCCCCCCUUCUCUGCCUGCCUGAGAGCCCAGAGCAGUGGUUCUCACCCUUCCUAAUGCUACAACCCUUUAAUAAGUUCCUCAUGUUGUAGUAACCCCCCUACAAUAAAAUUAUUUUUGUUGCUACUUCAUAACUGUAAUUUUGUUGCUGUUAUGAAUUGUAAUGUAAAUAUCCAUGUUUUCUGAGGGUCUUUAGGUGACCCCUGUGAAAGGGUCAUUUGAUCCCCAAAAGGGUUGUGACUCACAGCUUGAGAACCACCGUCCUGGAGGUUCUUUCAGAGGCCAGGAUAAUGAGUGAAAAGAUGCCAGGCAGAAGCCAUAGUCAUUUUGACAAAAUCUAAAAGGGUUUUAGAAGGAAGGAAGGGGCUGAUGUUGUUACCACUGCAGCAGCCCAGGAAGAGCAAUGUGAGGCCCCAGCCAUAGGACCUGUUUGAAUCUCUCCGUCCCCGCUCCUUGGGAGCAGGGAGUGUUGAUGUAUAGGAAGCAGAGGACAGGUAAAUCCGUGUUUGCCUCAACACGGACUAGGACUACAGCCUGGGGCCUAUGGCGCUGAUUCACUUGGGUGAGUCCCAGGAGGCUGAAGGGGGUGGAGGAAGAGUCAGGCUGCAGCUAUGAAGUGGAAGAGCAGCCACUAAAGCCUGGGACAAGGGAUGAUGAAGAGUCAUACUGAGACUGGAAUUUGGGAUGGGUUCAUUACAUGAAGGCUUCAUUGCCUGGAGGCCUCCUCCUGUCAUGAGGGCAGUGCUAAUACUCUGGGGACAACUGGAGCAACCAAGCAGGCAGGCCUGUGACAAAGGCCUGGAUAUGUCACGAGGCCUAUCUAAUAGGACUUCUCUCCUGGGCUUCUGCAACUACCACCCUGCCAGCAUCCAAAAGCAGGCAGCAAGGAGAGCUGGGCAGAGUCCAAAGGCUCAGUAUAGGUGAGGAUGGGAACAGUUGAACCACAGGUUAAGAAAGUUUGGGAACACUGGAAGGGUGACCCUGGGAGGAGGUGGUAGUCUGCAGGUGGCCAGGUGGUCAGCUGUGGGGAGAAUAGGAAUGGUGUUGGUUGAGGAAGGCAUGAGGUACUAGAAGGAGGGAAAACUGAGCUUAAGGGAAAGUGGCCACAACUGGAGUAGCCAUUUCUGAGCACUGACCAUUCAAGGUCAGAUACAAAGUUCUCUCUCUCUCUUUUUUUUUUUUUUUUUUUUUUUUUUUUUUUUUUGUGUGUGUGUGUGUGUGUGUGUGUGUGUGUGUGUGUGUGUGUCCCUUUCUCCUUCUCCCCUCCUCCCUGAGCAGAAGCCAGGAAUAAGAAGUGGUGGCUAUCUUCUGCAUGUUCAUGUAAUACAAGUUUCCUGAGUGAGUGGUCUAUUCUCUGCUGCAGGCACUCUAGACUUAGCCUUGUGCCUUCUAUGAGCCUGUCUUCUCCCACCAGCUUCUCCACCCUUUGGUCAUCACCUCAGGUCUUUUCAGUGAUUAUUUUCUUGCUCCUCUGUCAUGCACCAGGAUCUUGAGCGUCAGAAGCAUGUCCCUCCUCAUGCCCCAGCAAGCUCCUUGCCAGUCCCCAGACCUGCCCAUAAUCCCUGCUUGCCCAUUUCCCCAACUUAGGGAAUGCAGGGACCAGAUUUCUUCUGUUCACAUCCCUGUCCAAAGUGGCUCAUGAGUGACUGGUUCUGACCUGUUAGUCCUAGGAAGGGUUGGCUUCAUGCCCAUCAACAUUCCAGCUCCCUGCCUCCUCUGCCCCCACCCCAGGAAUGGGCAGGAGAGGAGAUGAGUAACUGAACUGGAACCACUACUGGGAGAAGGAGCCCAGGAAAAGAUUUAGAGGACUUUACAGACCCGGGAGGCAGAGUCCAGAUAAGGGGGGCCUGGGUGCUUGUCUCAAUCUUUCCCCAUGAUUGCUUAGCUAUGGCCGAUGCAGAAGUCCAGGGACCCUGGGAGAGAG
rnacentral:lncRNA from 1 species